AAUCAACGCUGGCGGCGUGCCUCAGACAUGCAAGUCGAACGAUUAAGACUCUCUUCGGAGAGUGUAUAAAGUGGCGCACGGGUGAGUAACACGUAGGUAAUGUACCGAAGGGUGGGGAAUAACUUAGGGAAACUUAAGCUAAUACCGCAUAAUGCAGCGGCUCGACAUCGAGACAGUUGUUAAAGGAGCAAUCCGCCUUUUGAGCAGCCUGCGGCAGAUUAGCUAGUUGGUAAGGUAAUGGCUUACCAAGGCUACGAUCUGUAACCGACCUGAGAGGGUGGUCGGUCACACUGACACUGAAUAACGGGUCAGACUCCUACGGGAGGCAGCAGUCGGGAAUUUUGGGCAAUGGGCGAAAGCCUGACCCAGCAACGCCGCGUGAAGGAUGAAGUAUUUCGGUAUGUAAAGCUCUUUUACCCGGGAUGAUAAUGACAGUACCGGGAGAAUAAGCCCCGGCUAACUCCGUGCCAGCAGCCGCGGUAAU
rnacentral:rRNA from 1 species